rnacentral:rRNA from 1 species
AAUGGGCGGGAGCCUGAACCAGCCAAGUCGCGUGAAGGAAGAAGGAUCUAUGGUUCGUAAACUUCUUUUGCAGGGGAAUAAAGUGCAGGACGUGUCCUGUUUUGUAUGUACCCUGAGAAUAAGGAUCGGCUAACUCCGUGCCAGCAGCCGCGGUAAUACGGAGGAUCCGAGCGUUAUCCGGAUUUAUUGGGUUUAAAGGGUGCGUAGGUGGUUUGAUGAGUCAGCGGUGAAAGUUUGCAGCUUAAAUGUAAAAANGCCGUUGAAGCUGUCGGACUUGAGUGUAAAUGAGGUAGGCGGAAUGCGUGGUGUAGCGGUGAAAUGCAUAGAUAUCACGAGGAACGCCGGUAGCGAAGGCAGCUCGCCGGGCCGGUAUUGACGCUGAGGCACGAAAGCGUGGGGAUCGAA